rnacentral:rRNA from 1 species
UACGUAGGGUGCAAGCGUUAAUCGGAAUUACUGGGCGUAAAGCGUGCGCAGGCGGUUUUGUAAGUCUGUCGUGAAAUCCCCGGGCUCAACCUGGGAAUUGCGAUGGAGACUGCAAGGCUAGAAUCUGGCAGAGGGGGGUAGAAUUCCACGUGUAGCAGUGAAAUGCGUAGAGAUGUGGAGGAACACCGAUGGCGAAGGCAGCCCCCUGGGUCAAGAUUGACGCUCAUGCACGAAAGCGUGGGGAUCAAACAGG